rnacentral:misc_RNA from 1 species
AACCAUAGAAACCUGCGGAGUACCUGCGGAGGGAUCAUUAUAGUAUAUGGAAUCUCCAUUCUAUAAACCCACUCUGCGUAUCUUGUAACUGUUGCUUCCAUGGGACUUGGUUCCGCCAUACCGGCUUCACGGCUGGUGAGCGCCCAUGGAAGGAGAAACAAAACUCUUCUUUGAAAUGUAGUCAGUCUGAACAAGUUUUUAUAAACGUUAAAACUUUUAACAAUGGAUCUCAGAUCGGAA